rnacentral:rRNA from 1 species
CACGUAGGUGGUUUGGUAACUCAGUCGUGGAAUCCCGCCGCUCACCGGUGGAAUUGCGACUGAAAAUGCCAGACUUGAGCGCAGGAGGGGUGAGAGGAACUCUAGGUGGAGCGGUGAAAUGCGUAGAUAUCUAGAGGAACGCCGGAGGCGAAAGCGUCUCACUGGCCUGCUGCUGACACUGAGGUGCGAAAGCCAGGGGAGCAAACG